rnacentral:misc_RNA from 1 species
CAUGGCGGAGGAGGUGGGUACCUGGCUUGCCAGGUGCGAUGCCUCCACGCUUUCUACCCUUGUCUAUUUGCACCCUUUGUCGUUCCCUCGGCGGGUCUCGACCCGUCGGCGGCAACAUUCAAAACCUCUUGCAGUAGCAUCCAAUUCUUCUGAUCAAAUGUUAAAUCGUUA